AGCACCGCUACGUUGUACGUAAAGCGACGUGCCGCGGUUCCUCAGGCCGGGAUGCGCCUCAUCCGUCGGGGACAGCGCCACACAAAGAUCUUUUGGAACAAGCGCUAAUGACAAAGGAGCUGCAUAGGGCAGAGAUACAUUUUAGAGUCAGCUAAUCUGAAUUUGUUUGGAUUUGUAUUGAAUCUAUGGAUCAAUGAGAGAAUUGACAUUUUUAUAAAAUGAAGUUUUUUUCCUAGAGCAAUGCCUGCCAAACAGUAAGAAAAUUUUUAAGUGAAUGGAUGAGAUUGGAGCUUAUCAAGAAUGAACCUCAAGAAAAGUAGCAGGAGUGGCCCAAGCCUUUCUCAGCCUCUGAGAGGCCCUGGCAGAAGACUACUGUUCAUCUUACACAGUCGCUUCGAGUCUCCUGAACUACUCCUGAGCCCUUUUGCUAAUUGUGUCACCUGAAUCUUUAAUUGCUUUGCCAGUUUGAGCUGUAAUUUAAAUAAAAUUUUUGCUACAAAGAGUUAAAAUAUCAGAGCAUUUUAACCAGUCUAAAAUUUAGAAAUAGGAAUUUGAGACAAAUUAGGUUUUUCUAAUAGAAAUGUUCUGAGCCUAAAGCCCUAAAGGAGAGUAAGGAAACCAAUUAACUUUAAUUUAAAUAAUCAUGUCUUAAGUAGCAAAUGAACCAAAUUCUAUUGUUAAAGAACAACUGUAUUAAAUCCCUGAAAGGUUAGCUUCAAAAUGGCAUUAAUGCAGUGGUUUCGUGUCUAACUAAUGAAAUAAGUUUCUGUUGGUCACUGUAACCUCUGUUUGUUGUCUUACUGGACAUUGUAUUGAGUGUAGAGGAGGGGAGAGAUUGAGAGAUCAAGGAAGGAAUAAUUCCCAUUGAUAUUCCUAUUGUUAGUAACCUUUUUUUAAAAGCCACAAACAAAAAGCUAAUCAUUUUAUUCCUGGGAAAAAACAGUAUAAGAAAAUGUGGGAAAAGCUUAUUUUCUUAUUCUAAACCUUGUGUAUAUAUAUAUGACUUUCUGUUUGUAUUUGCUAUUUUAAAAUAAUGUAUUUAUGAUGAUUGAGAUCACUAUGACUACAAAGACUGAACUUCAGCCAAUGUCUGUAAGCAUUAAAGCAGCCAUCAACAAUGUAUUAAGGUAUAUAUUAUGCUAUACUCUGGUACUGGGUCAAUGCCUGGAGAUGUAUUUUGGAUGAGUUUAUAUAAUAGAAGAGAGAGAACAGGAGUUUGGCAGGCAGACAGUUUGAAGUCAGGUCAUGGGAGGGUUUAAAUGUUACUCUCAAAGACUUAAAUGCUAUUUCUCUCACGCAUUCUCUAUUUCUUCAGUCCUCACGUGCUACCUUGAGACCUUAGAAAGGCCAGGUUAACCUCACUGAGACUGUCUUCCUAUGUGUAAGAUGGGGAUAAUAAUCCUAUAUUAUAGGUAUGCCUGGAGAAUUAACAGAUGUAAAGCAUAUGACUGAGGCUGGCACACAGUGGAAGCUUAAUAAAUCUUGGUCUUAGUACUGUUUUCUAGAAAUGAAACACUGCUUCUGCUCUCCUUAUUAACUAAUUUUGCACAUCAGUGUCAUAUCCUAUGCUCUGCUAAUGUUUGUUAUGUUCUUGAGAGAACCUUUUUAUUUCCUGUGGCAUCUUGGGGAAGAAGUCUAAAGAAACUGGUAUAGAAUUUACUAAAAUGGAAAUUAGCCUGGGUUGACAGGCAAGGGCAAAAAGAGUUAAAAGGGUUAGUAUAUCAAAGCCUUGACUUUCUGGAGUUACUUUUUUCUUCAAAACAUAGCCUCUGCCUUUGCUGGCAAUGUGACCUGUACCUUGUUCCAAUUAUUUAUGCUAAUCAAGGUAAUUUUUUUUCUGUGAAGGAUUUGAUGAGAUGAUGCUAUAGAAAAAUCCAGUGCAUUUCCAUUAUUGCUUGCUCAACCGCAAUACUAUUUUGUAGCAAGAGGAAAAUAAUUGCGGAAUGCUCCUCUACCCCCACAUAGGAAGUACAUAAUAUCAUGUUUGUGUUGAAACUUUCUCUUCCAAAAUGUCAUAACCCCAUACGAAAGAGAAUUAAAAUCCCAUUAUUUUAAUCUACAUCUUGCCACAAGAUAAGUAAAGUUAUCAUUGAAAUUCUAAUUAAAUGGGAUGAUUGACUAAGGUAGCACAUCAAAGAAGAGAAGUGAAUAUGAUAAGUCGAAGACUUAUUAAUUAGUCUGCGUGGAAGAAAUUCCAGGGAUGUCAAGCUGAGCCUGCUGCAAGGAGAAAAAAAAGCAGACAAGAAAACGCUCGUUUCUUUGAAGUUAGGAACUGAGAUAGUGAUGGAGGUAAUUGUGUCUGACUGGAUCCAGUAAUGAAGAGCUGUAAAUCAGACCUCAGAAUCGAAGGAAAGAUUCAAGUAACGAACGCGGCCGCCCCCCCUGCUGCGAAGAAACAGAAUGCAGAGCGCACUAAUUGACCCAGCCUAUUUCCCAGUAGUUCCCUGUUAUUAUUUAUUAAUUUUUAAUUUCUGAAUUAUUUACGUCCUGGGAAAUUAUUCUUGACAGCCUGUUAGGCGUGCCAGAGUUAAUGGAGGAUGAAAGCACUGGUACCAGAAUUAGCAGGGAUGUAGUCACAGGCUACUGGAUUUAACGAUUUUGGAAGGAAAAAUUGAUUUCACACAGCGUGUCACUUUAUACUACUUUAGGGAUACACCAGCUAUUUGAUUAAUUGAGGAAUAACCAAUUCAAAGUAUAUUUGAAGUGUAAAUGAGUCACACUGCUCAGCUGUUUAUUUUUCCCUCUUUCUGAGAGAUCUGAAUUUUCUUGAAACUGAUGAUUAAAAGCUGAUGAAGACACACUUGCGCGCUUUGAACGUACACCUGUUUGAUUCGUAUUAAACACAGAAGGGAAGAAAACCCUGAAAUACAAAAGGAGAUAUUUUUACUUUUCUUCUUUCUCCCUUCUGAUCUCUUUGUGAUUUUUUUUUUUUUUUUCACUUCAGCAUGUGGUAUAGCAGUAGUUGGAACCUGCAUUCCUUAAAAACUAGGCUCGGGAAGUUUCUCAUUUGUUUUAUGGCCUAUGAACACAAGUAGAAAGAAGCAAUGCCUGCUAAUGAAUAGAAAGAACAAAUAGAAGGAAAACAUACUAAAGGGAAACAAUGACUUUAGUGAAUAAGGUCAGAGGAUUAAUAUAUUAGGAAAAUGAGUGAGGCAGAAAUCGACCAUCACUACCCAGCCUAAAAGCUCUGCGUCAUUCGUGGCUUCUCCCUUUCUGGGCAACCACAUUAGCCUUGGUGCGUCUGCUACUCUCACCUUUGUUCAUCUCUCUUUGGCCUAGUCCUCUGACUGUCUGAAGUCAAAUCUUCCUCUUCCACUGUAUUUGACAUCAGUGCUUCUCAAAGUUUAAUGUGCACCCAGAUCACUUGGGGGUUCUGGCUGCUUUGCAGGUUUAGAUUCAGUGAGUCUGGGACGGAGGCUGAGAGUCUCCUUUUUUGAUAGGCUCCCAGGUGAAGUUCAUGCUGCUGGUCCUUGACCAGUCUUUGAACAGCAAAGUCCUUCAAAACUCUAACAGUCUCAUUUUCUUUAAAAAAUUGCUUUUAAGCACAUAACUCUCUCAUUCAGAAACCGUAAGUGAUUUCCAAUACCUACAAUUAAACACAGAUUCCUUAGCCCGGCAUUCAAGAUCUUCCUCAUAUGAUCAGUCUGCCGUCCUGGGCCUAUCCUUCAUUUCCCAGCUCCAUGCUUUUGUUUAUGCUAUUUCUUCUUCCUGAAAUGCCCCUGUCUGUGGAAAGUCUACCAGUGCCUCAAGAUGUAUGUCAAAUGUCACAUCCCCAAUGUUGGCUAUUCUAACCUUUUCCCAUUCAAUAAGACGUGUUCUCCUUCAAAUGCUUUCUCUCAUACUUUAGUUUUACCUCUUCCUUGCCAUGUGAUUAUCUUCAAUCUUACAUUGUUGUCGUUAAUGUACCUAUUUUUCCCUAUGCACAUACAGGAUUGUGAGUUGUGUAAGGGUAGGGACUGUGCCUUAUCCUUCCCAAGUGCAGGUGCAGAGCAUAGAGUACAUAGCUAACAAAUAUAUCUAGUGAAACUGAACUAUUCCCUCCAUGGUCAUCCUACCCUUGCAAAUUUGUAGCAUCUCUGGAAUUCUUUAAAAUAGCCCACAAAUUCUGAUUUUUGCUACUUCGCUUAUUCAUUUAUCCACAUAUCUGCUUACUCACAAGCAUUUGAAUGUUUUCUUUGUGCUAGGUGCAGAGCCUGGGGCUGCAGAUAGACAAGUGAAACAGCAGUCCUUGUCCCCCAAGAACCAUCCCCCCAACUUUUUUGUCCUGCUUUACCAACUUUAUAUUUCCUAACUCCAACCCCAAAACUUAUCUAAGCAAUAUUUAUUCACCCUAAUUUUUUUAAAAAGCAAAAAAAAUUUUGGUAGUUCUUGUAACUAUAGUAGGACCAAGCAUCAUUACCUCAGAACAUGGAUUCUCAUGAAUCCUGAGGAUUUUAUCUAGACUUUGCAUAUAUUCAUUCUCCUCUCUGAAAGAUUUGGAAAUCCUUAAAGUCUUGCCCAUUUAACCAUAAAUUUCCACCUUAUCCCCACUCCCCACAAUACCCAUUUUUCAGCAUUGUACCAGUUCUCAAACCAUUGCUUCUACCUGUCCUAAACUCCUUAAGGUAAGAUUGCAUAGCAUAUUUAACAAAUUUAACCAACACCAAAAUUAUUCUCGAGUUCUUUCCUCUUCUUUUCUUCUCUCCUCUUUUUUCCAUCUCUUUCUCUUUAUCUCAUGCCCUUACCUUCUUGUACUUACUGUCCUUAACCACUAUACCCAUCCAAAUGUAGAGGGAAGAACAUUUUUUUAAAAACCUAAUUUCAUAUCUACCAUAAAGAUUCAGACAAAAAUAAACCACAAGAAAUUGUGUCAUGGAGUGUAUGAUGUAGAAAUGUCCAAGAGUCUAACUAUAAAUAAAACAGAGACAAAUAAAAUUGUAUUGUGGUUCUUUGAUGGUGAGCCAGCUCUGGCUAACAAGCAAGAAGAGAAGGAUUCAAGGGUUUCCCAGAGAAUAUAAGAUAGAAUUCAAUAGAAUUGAAUUUAGGUGAGCAAGAAUGCCACCCAAUAAGAGACUGGUCCCUCAGUGCCCAGGCUAAGAGGACCUGCUUGGGUCUGGAUCUUACUCUGUUUCCUAGGGAUUGACUUAUGAGUAGAGAAACCCAAAGAAGGAAAAAGACUAGAGUCGGUCCAUUCUCCUUGGGGAGACUGGUUAUUGAUUCCUGUAUCCCCAGAGAUGUCUUUAUUCCAGUUCUUCUUGAGUCAUCACUGUACAGCUUUUACAUCAACUGAUAAUUUUAUCACUGGCAACCAAAGAACUCUAAGUGAUACCAGAGACAGUUAUAGUAGUAGGUGUUCAGUAGAGGUUUGUUUAUUAUCCACAUAGUGUAUUAGAUAUAAAUUUUAUACAGCCUACAGGGACAACUCCCUAGCCUCUUAAUACGCAAGGAUUUUACCUUUGUGCCUUUGCUCAAGCUUUCCCGUCUGCCUACGAUGUCAUCCACCCUGCUUACCCUUCUCUUUUCUUAUUGUUUAACAUUCAAUAUCACCCAAAGGAGAGAAUCAAGUUAUUCUAAGUUUUAUUAUGAAAAAAUUCCAUGUAUAUCAAAGUUAAAAAACUAUACAAUGAAACUCACAUAUC